rnacentral:rRNA from 1 species
GGGACACGUGGUAUCCUGUCUGAAUAUGGGGGGACCAUCCUCCAAGGCUAAAUACUCCUGACUGACCGAUAGUGAACCAGUACCGUGAGGGAAAGGCGAAAAGAACCCCGGCGAGGGGAGUGAAAAAGAACCUGAAACCGUGUACGUACAAGCAGUGGGAGCCUCUUUAUGGGGUGACUGCGUACCUUUUGUAUAAUGGGUCAGCGACUUAUAUUCUGUAGCAAGGUUAACCGAAUAGGGGAGCCGAAGGGAAACCGAGUCUUAACUGGGCGUUAAGUUGCAGGGUAUAGACCCGAAACCCGGUGAUCUAGCCAUGGGCAGGUUGAAGGUUGGGUAACACUAACUGGAGGACCGAACCGACUAAUGUUGAAAAAUUAGCGGAUGACUUGUGGCUGGGGGUGAAAGGCCAAUCAAACCGGGAGAUAGCUGGUUCUCCCCGAAAGCUAUUUAGGUAGCGCCUCGUGAAUUCAUCUCCGGGGGUAGAGCACUGUUUCGGCAAGGGGGUCAUCCCGACUUACCAACCCGAUGCAAACUGCGAAUACCGGAGAAUGUUAUCACGGGAGACACACGGCGGGUGCUAACGUCCGUCGUGAAGAGGGAAACAACCCAGACCGCCAGCUAAGGUCCCAAAGUCAUGGUUAAGUGGGAAACGAUGUGGGAAGGCCCAGACAGCCAGGAUGUUGGCUUAGAAGCAGCCAUCAUUUAAAGAAAGCGUAAUAGCUCACUGGUCGAGUCGGCCUGCGCGGAAGAUGUAACGGGGCUAAACCAUGCACCGAAGCUGCGGCAGCGACGCUGAUGCGUUGUUGGGUAGGGGAGCGUUCUGUAAGCCUGCGAAGGUGUGCUGUGAGGCAUGCUGGAGGUAUCAGAAGUGCGAAUGCUGACAUAAGUAACGAUAAAGCGGGUGAAAAGCCCGCUCGCCGGAAGACCAAGGGUUCCUGUCCAACGUUAAUCGGGGCAGGGUGAGUCGACCCCUAAGGCGAGGCCGAAAGGCGUAGUCGAUGGGAAACAGGUUAAUAUUCCUGUACUUGGUGUUACUGCGAAGGGGGGACGGAGAAGGCUAUGUUGGCCGGGCGACGGUUGUCCCGGUUUAAGCGUGUAGGCUGGUUUUCCAGGCAAAUCCGGAAAAUCAAGGCUGAGGCGUGAUGACGAGGCACUACGGUGCUGAAGCAACAAAUGCCCUGCUUCCAGGAAAAGCCUCUAAGCAUCAGGUAACAUCAAAUCGUACCCCAAACCGACACAGGUGGUCAGGUAGAGAAUACCAAGGCGCUUGAGAGAACUCGGGUGAAGGAACUAGGCAAAAUGGUGCCGUAACUUCGGGAGAAGGCACGCUGAUAUGUAGGUGAAGCGACUUGCUCGUGGAGCUGAAAUCAGUCGAAGAUACCAGCUGGCUGCAACUGUUUAUUAAAAACACAGCACUGUGCAAACACGAAAGUGGACGUAUACGGUGUGACGCCUGCCCGGUGCCGGAAGGUUAAUUGAUGGGGUCAGCGCAAGCGAAGCUCUUGAUCGAAGCCCCGGUAAACGGCGGCCGUAACUAUAACGGUCCUAAGGUAGCGAAAUUCCUUGUCGGGUAAGUUCCGACCUGCACGAAUGGCGUAAUGAUGGCCAGGCUGUCUCCACCCGAGACUCAGUGAAAUUGAACUCGCUGUGAAGAUGCAGUGUACCCGCGGCAAGACGGAAAGACCCCGUGAACCUUUACUAUAGCUUGACACUGAACAUUGAGCCUUGAUGUGUAGGAUAGGUGGGAGGCUUUGAAGUGUGGACGCCAGUCUGCAUGGAGCCGGCCUUGAAAUACCACCCUUUAAUGUUUGAUGUUCUAACGUGGACCCGUGAUCCGGGUUGCGGACAGUGUCUGGUGGGUAGUUUGACUGGGGCGGUCUCCUCCUAAAGAGUAACGGAGGAGCACGAAGGUUGGCUAAUCCUGGUCGGACAUCAGGAGGUUAGUGCAAUGGCAUAAGCCAGCUUGACUGCGAGCGUGACGGCGCGAGCAGGUGCGAAAGCAGGUCAUAGUGAUCCGGUGGUUCUGAAUGGAAGGGCCAUCGCUCAACGGAUAAAAGGUACUCCGGGGAUAACAGGCUGAUACCGCCCAAGAGUUCAUAUCGACGGCGGUGUUUGGCACCUCGAUGUCGGCUCAUCACAUCCUGGGGCUGAAGUAGGUCCCAAGGGUAUGGCUGUUCGCCAUUUAAAGUGGUACGCGAGCUGGGUUUAGAACGUCGUGAGACAGUUCGGUCCCUAUCUGCCGUGGGCGCUGGAGAACUGAGGGGGGCUGCUCCUAGUACGAGAGGACCGGAGUGGACGCAUCACUGGUGUUCGGGUUGUCAUGCCAAUGGCACUGCCCGGUAGCUAAAUGCGGAAGAGAUAAGUGCUGAAAGCAUCUAAGCACGAAACUUGCCCCGAGAUGAGUUCUCCCUGACUCCUUGAGAGUCCUGAAGGAACGUUGAAGACGACGACGUUGAUAGGCCGGGUGUGUAAGCGCAGCGAUGCGUUGAGCUAACCGGUACUAAUGAACCGUGAG